UAUAACAGCUAUAAUCGACUGAACGAUGAUAAUCCUUUAAAUGGAUAACUGUGGUAAUUCUAGAGCUAAUACAUGACUGUAAGCAGUGUGACUCGUUCAUUCUGUUCAUUUAUUAGACCAAAAUCAAGCGGCUUGCCGUAUCAUUUGAUGACUCUAAAUAACUUUGCUAAUCGCAUGAACUUGUUUCGGCGAUACGUUUAUCGAGUUUCUGCCCUAUCAACUUUUGAUGGUUUUUUAUUGGAGAACCAUGGUGAUAACGGGUAACGGAGAAUUAGGGUUCGACUCCGGAGAGGGAGCCUGAGAAACGGCUACCACAUCCAAGGAAGGCAGCAGGCGCGAAAAUUACCCACUCUCAGUUCGAGGAGGUAGUGACGAAAAAUAACAAGACUGUUCGCUUUGCGAAUAGUUAUUGGAAUGGGUACAAUUUAAAACUUUUAACGAGGACCUAUGAGAGGGCAAGUCUGGUGCCAGCAGCCGCGGUAAUUCCAGCUCUCAAAAUGUACUUAACCAUUGUUGCGGUUAAAAAGCUCGUAGUUGGAUCUUUGCGAAACGGGGUGGUUCGUUCUUUGAACGUUUACUACUUCGUAUCGCUCUAUUUUGCUGGUUUUUGGCUAGUGUUCUUUACGGAAUGUUAGUCGUGACUGGCGAGUUUACUUUGAAUUAAUUAGAGUGCUUAAGACAGGCGUUUUGCUUGAAUAUUUCAGCAUGGAAUAAUGGAAGAGGACUUCGGUUCGAUUUUAUUGGUUUUAAGGAUUGAAGUAAUGAUUAAUAGGAAUAAACGGGGGCAUUUGUAUUGUUACGUUAGAGGUGAAAUUCUUGGACCGUAGCAAGACAAUCAACUGCGAAAGCAUUUGCCAAGAAUGUUUUCAUUAAUCAAGAACGAAAGUUAGGGGUUCGAAGGCGAUCAGAUACCGCCCUAGUCCUA
rnacentral:rRNA from 1 species